rnacentral:rRNA from 1 species
GACGAACGCUGGCGGCGUGCCUAAUACAUGCAAGUCGAGCGCAGGAAACUGACGGAACUCUUCGGAGGGAAGGCAGCGGAAUGAGCGGCGGACGGGUGAGUAACACGUAAGGAACCUGCCUCAAGGAUCGGGAUAACUCCGAGAAAUCGGAGCUAAUACCGGAUAGUUCAACGGACCGCAUGGUCCGUUGAUGAAAGGCGCUUCGGCGUCACCUUGAGAUGGCCUUGCGGUGCAUUAGCUAGUUGGUGGGGUAACGGCCCACCAAGGCGACGUUGCAUAGCCGACCUGAGAGGGUGAUCGGCCACACUGGGACUGAGACACGGCCCAGACUCCUACGGGAGGCAGCAGUAGGGAAUCUUCCACAAUGGACGAAAGUCUGAUGGAGCAACGCCGCGUGAGUGAUGAAGGUUUUCGGAUCGUAAAACUCUGUUGUAAGGGAAGAACACGUACGAGAGGGAAUGCUCGUACCUUGACGGUACCUUACGAGAAAGCCACGGCUAACUACGUGCCAGCCGCCGCAGUAA